rnacentral:lncRNA from 1 species
CCUUUCCACAUGCUAGGCACAAAGCACUUUUCAUGAGUUAUUUCCUUUAAUUUCCAUAACAAUCCUACAAAGAAAGUACAAUUAUCAUCCACAUUUUAUUGUUCAAGGAAUCUGACCAAGAAGCUGAAUGUUUCCGAGAGGUAUCCUGAACUGGUCUGACCACUCCUAGGCACUAAAAUCCUGACUGAAACAUUCAGCUGUGGUCCACCCAGGCCAGAUUGUUAUCAAUAACAAUGCCUUCAAAGGGUGUCAUUUGCCCUGGGACAUUGGAAGACAACAAAAGAAUUAAGCGAAACGGACAGAAGCCCAACACUCAAUGCCUUUGAACAUUUGAAUUGUACAACUAAUUUCUCUUGCUCUGAUUCUAGGCUUAUGAAACAAAGCGCUCACAAAUUGAUUUCCCUCAUGCUCACAUUUAGGGAGUAGAGACUAGACUGAGGUGUGGAGAGGGGAAAGCCACUGUCUGUUUGCAGAAGAUUAGCUAACAUCUGCUGCCAAUCCUCCUCCUUUUGCUGAAGAAGACUGGCCCUGAGCUAACAUCUGAGCCCAUCUUCCUCUACUUCAUAUGUGGGACGCCUGCCACAGCCUGGCUUCAUAAGUGGAAUGUAUGUCUGCACCUGGGACCUGAACCAGGGAACCCUGGGCCACCCAAGUGGAGCGCUCAAACUUAACCACUACACCAUUGGGUGGCCCCACUUCCAUCCUCUUGAUGAAGAGUAGAAGAUAAGACAAGGAGAAUUAGAAAGCAGUGUGAAGCCAAGUGGUGUUUGAUCUGCUAUCAAGCCACAAAGAGUUUCAAAACAGGCCACUUUGUCACCCCUCAGAGACUGAGGGAUCUUGGCAUUCCUGGAUGUGUCGAAAGACAAACGAUAAACAGGCAGUGCAGAGAGAGACUAAAUAAAUAUAUGCUUCAGCAGCAUAGAUUUUAGCUCUUAAGGGAAAGGACCUAUUUCAUGUGAUUCUAAUUUUCUGGAAAGCACCACCUAUGUACGUCUCAAGAAUGGUUCAAAUAGCCUGGAAUAAUUUGUUGAUCCUGCUUAUGUUAUCUAUUUUUGCAUUUCCCCAUG